UCUGCCCUUAAGUUUGGGAUAACCUGUCGAAAGAUGGGCUAAUACCGGAUAAUAUCCAUGAUUGAUAGGAUUAUGGAUCAAAGAUUUAUCGCUUAGGGAUGAGCCCGCGGCCCAUUAGCUAGUUGGUAGGGUAAUGGCCUACCAAGGCUACGAUGGGUAGCUGGUCUGAGAGGAUGAUCAGUCACACUGGAACUGGAACGCGAUCCAGACUCCUACGGGAGGCAGCAGUGGGGAAUAUUGCGCAAUGGGGGAAACCCUGACGCAGCGACGCCGCGUGGGUGAGGAAGGUUUUAGGAUCGUAAAGCCCUGUCAAGUGGGAAGAAGAAAGUGACGGUACCACUAAAGGAAGCACCGGCUAACUCCGUGCCAGCAGCCGCGGUAAUACGGAGGGUGCAAGCGUUAUUCGGAUUUAUUGGGCGUAAAGAGAGCGUAGGCGGUCUGUUAUGUCAGAGGUGAAAGCCCCAGG
rnacentral:rRNA from 1 species